rnacentral:lncRNA from 1 species
AUAAUUAAUGAGGAAUUUUGUUCCCUCACUAAUUUCCAUCACUAAUUUACCUUUUUUUAGUAGUGAGAACACGUAGUUACAUGAUUCAGAUAGUUUCAAAGAGAAUCAUCUAUAAUUCAUAAUCUGAUGAGAUUAAUUACUCAUAAUAAUAAUUGACAUGACAAAAGAGUUAGGAAAAUUAUACAUAACCGAUGUAAACCACGAUGGCGAAACCCUCAAUUUGUAUUUCUCCUUUUGCUAGAUCGUAACUUUCUCUCUCUGCAAAGUGAUAAUCCUGAUCAAUAUAGCUGCUACCUUUAUAUAUGCAUAAGAAAAGCCAAAUCCCCUCCCUCACGUGACACAUCGCAUCCCACUAACUUGGUUUAAUUGACACGUCAUUAAAAUAUUGGAUUGUAUCACUUUGCUUAUGCUUUGCUGACGUCACGUGUCGGUCUAAUUGUAGAAUCGCGCCAUGAAGAAAUAAGUGCAGCGACGCGAGAAAAACAGAAGAUGUUUCAUCAAAACUUCAUUAUUUUUUUAAAGUAUUUUUGUUCUUUUGGUCUUUUGGUCUUUUGUCUUCAAACUCUUGGAUAUGUCAAAUUCUUCAUAAAUUCUUCUCUUUGACCGUGCAGUAUUCCUAAAAACUAACUAAAAUGUUGUAGAAUUAUAAUUAAAAUUAACAAAUGACUAGCUGUCAUCAUUGUGUAUAGCCGAACUCUGGAAUAUUA